rnacentral:rRNA from 1 species
GACGUAGGGGGCCAGCGUUGUUCGGAAUUACUGGGUGUAAAGGGUUCGUAGGCGGUGUAGCAAGUCGGGAGUGAAAUCUCUGGGCUUAACCCAGAGGCUGCUUCCGAAACUGCUGUGCUUGAGUGUGGGAGAGGCGCGUGGAAUUGCAGGUGUAGCGGUAAAAUGCGUAGAUAUCUGCAGGAACACCCGUGGCGAAAGCGGCGCGCUGGACCACUACUGACGCUGAGGAACGAAAGCUAGGGGAGCAAACAGG